rnacentral:rRNA from 1 species
UGGGGAAUAUUGCACAAUGGGCGCAAGCCUGAUGCAGCCAUGCCGCGUGUAUGAAGAAGGCCUUCGGGUUGUAAAGUACUUUCAGUCGGGAGGAAGGUGGUAAGGUUAAUAACCUUAUCAAUUGACGUUACCGACAGAAGAAGCACCGGCUAACUCCGUGCCAGCAGCCGCGGUAAUACGGAGGGUGCAAGCGUUAAUCGGAAUUACUGGGCGUAAAGCGCACGCAGGCGGUUGAUUGAGUCAGAUGUGAAAUCCCCGGGCUUAACCCGGGAAUUGCAUCUGAUACUGGUCAGCUAGAGUCUUGUAGAGGGGGGUAGGAUUCCAUGUGUAGCGGUGAAAUGUGUAGAGAUGUGGAGGAAUACCGGUGGCGAAGGCGGCCCCCUGGACAAAGACUGACGCUCAGGUGCGAAAGCGUGGGGAGCAAACAGG